CGUUUGGGAAGACAAAAACAAUUGCCGGUUUUGAUCUGAUCGCAGAAAAAGACAAUGUAAAGCGGCAAGAGUCUGGUAUUGGAUCUCAUUCUUCAACUGUUGUUGGCCCGCCAUACGAUAUUUCCCAUCUGUUUCGUCUCAGAAAACGCGUUCAGCGUUUAUCCCUAUAUUGAGGACCGAUCCAACGGUGUCAAUCAAUUAGCCUACAGCGUCAUCAAUUCUCUUCGAUUCAGGCUCAGCUUGUUGCUUCACAUUGCGAGUCGUGAGCAGUGAUAGUAAGAACCCAAAUGGAUACGAAGAAAAAUUUUGGCAAGAGAUUUGAAGGGAAGGUGGCGAUUGUCACAGCUUCCACUCAGGGCAUAGGCUUUGCAAUCGCCCAGCGCCUCGGCUGGGAAGGCGCCGCCGUCGUCAUCUCUUCUCGCAAGCAGAAAAAUGUAGAUGAGGCUGUUGAGAAACUUAAAGCUCAGGGUAUCCAAGUGUUAGGUGUUGUUUGUCAUGUCUCAAAUGCAGAACAAAGAAAGAAUCUCAUUGAGAAGACAGUGGAGAAAUAUGGAAAAAUAGAUGUGGUUGUAUCCAAUGCUGCUGCAAAUCCAUCUGUUGAUUCUAUUUUGGAGACUCAAGAAUCUGUCCUUGACAAGCUUUGGGAAAUUAAUGUCAAAUCCUCUAUCCUUCUUUUGAAGGAUGCUGCUCCUCAUAUGCAGAAGGGUUCUUCAGUCAUUUUGAUUUCCUCAAUCGGUGGUUACAAUCCCCAUGCUUCCAUGGCCAUGUAUGGGGUGACAAAGACAGCUCUUCUUGGGCUUACUAAGGCCCUUGCAGCUGAAAUGGCACCUGAUACUCGUGUAAAUUGUAUUGCUCCUGGGUUUGUACCAACACAUUUUGC
rnacentral:misc_RNA from 1 species